UACGGAGGAUCCAAGCGUUAUCCGGAUUUAUUGGGUUUAAAGGGUGCGCAGGCGGAAGAUUAAGUCGGCGGUGAAAUUUUGCAGCUCAACUGUAAAAGUGCUAUCGAUACUGGUUUUCUUGAGUGUGGAUGAAGUAGGCGGAAUUUGUGGUGUAGCGGUGAAAUGCAUAGAUAUCACGAGGAACUCCGAUUGCGCAGGCAGCUUACUAGGCCAUAACUGACGCUCAGGCACGAAGGCGUGGGGAUCAAACAGGAUUAGGAUA
rnacentral:rRNA from 1 species